rnacentral:rRNA from 1 species
GAUGAACGCUAGCGGGAGGCCUAACACAUGCAAGCCGAGCGGUAGAGUUUCUUCGGAAACUUGAGAGCGGCGCACGGGUGCGUAACACGUGUGCAACCUACCUUUAUCUGGGGGAUAGCCUUUCGAAAGGAAGAUUAAUACCCCAUAAUAUAAUGAUUGGCAUCAAUUAUUAUUGAAAACUCCGGUGGAUAGAGAUGGGCACGCGCAAGAUUAGAUAGUUGGUGAGGUAACGGCCCACCAAGUCAAUGAUCUUUAGGGGUCCUGAGAGGGAGAUCCCCCACACUGGUACUGAGACACGGACCAGACUCCUACGGGAGGCAGCAGUGAGGAAUAUUGGACAAUGGGUGAGAGCCUGAUCCAGCCAUCCCGCGUGAAGGAGGACGGUCCUAUGGAUUGUAAACUUCUUUUGUACAGGGAUAAACCUACCCUCGUGAGGGUAGCUGAAGGUACUGUACGAAUAAGCACCGGCUAACUCCGUG